UAAGGCCCUUCGGGGUACACGAGCGGCGAACGGGUGAGUAACACGUGAGCAACCUGCCCCCGACUCCGGGAUAAGCGGUGGAAACGCCGUCUAAUACCGGAUACGACACACCGCCUCAUGGCGGUGUGUGGAAAGUUUUUCGGUCGGGGAUGGGCUCGCGGCCUAUCAGCUUGUUGGUGGGGUAACGGCCUACCAAGGCGAUUACGGGUAGCCGGCCUGAGAGGGCGACCGGCCACACUGGGACUGAGACACGGCCCAGACUCCUGCGGGAGGCAGCAGUGGGGAAUAUUGCGCAAUGGGCGAAAGCCUGACGCAGCGACGCCGCGUGGGGGAUGACGGCCUUCGGGUUGUAAACCUCUUUUACCACCAACGCAGGCUCCCAGUUCUCUGGGGGUUGACGGUAGGUGGGGAAUAAGGACCGGCUAACUACGUGCCAGCAGCCGCGGUAAUACGUAGGGUCCGAGCGUUGUCCGGAAUUAUUGGGCGUAAAGAGCUCGUAGGCGGCGUGUCGCGUCUGCUGUGAAAGACCGGGGCUUAACUCCGGUUCUGCAGUGGAUACGGGCAUGCUAGAGGUAGGUAGGGGAGACUGGAAUUCCUGGUGUAGCGGUGAAAUGCGCAGAUAUCAGGAGGAACACCGGUGGCGAAGGCGGGUCUCUGGGCCUUACCUGACGCUGAGGAGCGAAAGCAUGGGGAGCGAACAGGAUUAGAUACCCUGGUAGUCCAUGCCGUAAACGUUGGGCGCUAGGUGUGGGGACUUUCCACGGUUUCCGCGCCGCAGCUAACGCAUUAAGCGCCCCGCCUGGGGAGUACGGCCGCAAGGCUAAAACUCAAAGGAAUUGACGGGGGCCCGCACAAGCGGCGGAGCAUGUUGCUUAAUUCGACGCAACGCGAAGAACCUUACCAAGGUUUGACAUCGCCCGUGG
rnacentral:rRNA from 1 species